rnacentral:rRNA from 1 species
UACGGAGGGGGCAAGCGUUGUUCGGAAUCAUUGGGCGUAAAGGGCGCGUAGGCGGCCGUCCAAGUCGGGUGUGAAAUCCCUCGGCUCAACCGAGGAACUGCACUCGAUACUGGUCGGCUAGAGUCCGGGAGGGGAUGGUGGAAUUCCCAGUGUAGCGGUGAAAUGCGUAGAUAUUGGGAAGAACACCGGUGGCGAAGGCGGCCAUCUGGACCGGUACUGACGCUGAGGCGCGAAAGCCAGGGGAGCGAAUGGG